rnacentral:miRNA from 1 species
UUCCUCCAAGAUCUCGGAGACUC